UACGUAGGUGACCAGCGUUGUCCGGAUUUACUGGGCGUAAAGAGCGCGCAGGCGGUCGUUCAAGUCGAGUGUGAAAGCCCCCGGCUCAACUGGGGAGGGUCACUCGAUACUGAUCGACUGGAAGGCAGGAGAGGGAAGCGGAAUUCCCGGUGUAGUGGUGAAAUGCGUAGAUAUCGGGAGGAACACCGGUGGCGAAGGCGGCCUUCUGGACAGUGACUGACGCUGAGACGCGAAAGCGUGGGGAGCAAACAGG
rnacentral:rRNA from 1 species